UUCUGCUUUCACUAACAUGGGAUCAUGACAGCUACCUUCCCGGUGGUGAUCCUGUUAAGGGAAGCUUUCCUGCUAAAGGGAAAUUUCCUGAACUAAAGCUGUCAAAUAGGGGAUGCUAGUACACUGGAUCAUUUUGAACAGUUAUCACCUUUAAUCUCCAUUAAGUCUUUAUAAUGGAGAUCGAUGGUGAUAAUUUCAUGUUGCGUUAUGCAAUUUCGUAUAGAAACAAAAGAAAGUUCCAAAUUUGAAAUACACUUGAUAAAUGUUUAGCUUGUGCCAUUUCACACAGAAAAUGUAAGGAAAUUUUGUUAUUGACUUUUUUUCUGAAAAUUUCACUUAGUGUGUGCAUACUCUAGUUUUGCAUACUUUAUUCCCAAGUUAAGUCUAUUUCGCCAUUAAUUUUGCCAAAAAAAAAUUGCUUCAAAGUGUCCAGCUGGCAUCUGGCUGAAUAUUGAUUUACAAGGUCCAAAUGACAAGGAAAUGCAAAAACAUUUUGUGUGGACCUUUAUGCACAGUCCAACUCCAAAUUGCAGUUUGACACUCGGACCUCAAUCACUUCUUGUCAUCACUCUUCAACGAUUCGGCAAUUCAUCGUGGGCCAGGACCAGCGAAGUGCUUGGAGUUGACGAGUCUGGUGAGAAUGAGACGGCUCUUUUGGAAAUCAUCCUCCAUGAUUGACAGUGACAUCCAUGACCACCACGUUCACUGCGCUCAAGUUUUACAUGCACGGGAAAUCCAGUGAACUGAGAUUUGACUGGUUUUUACUUACGAUUUGUGAGGCCACUGCUUGAACUUCUACAGUGGCAGUCUGCAGUACUUCUACUCUGGUACUCGGUAGAAUCCACAAGACUGGAUGUAACAUUGAGGGACUUCUUGACCAUGAGCGGUGCAGGAGGUGCAUACAACCUGCAAGUACUUUGGCACUUCAUGUGAACAACGCCAUAGCUACUGUGGAAGAGACUGACCCUUUCAAACAUUACUGAGGCUGGAUUGGACCAGACCAGUGCCUAGACUAGGCAGGACAGGCUGGAUGACCAUCACCAUGGUGAAUGGGAUGACCUUAAGGGUGAGUCAAACCAAGAAUGCAAUCUGCUCCAUCAAAACUUUUCAUAUGGUGUGCCAAACAACUUGAAAUUUCAAACUUGAAAUUCAAAUUUCAUAGAUCAAAUACUGGCAUAAGACCCAGGUGUGAAGAAGAUGAAUUGAAGAUAACUUUAAGCAUCAGACCGCAGUGUCUUGACAGCAUGCCUAACAGUGAGCGAUUUAUGUGAGAGGACAAAUGAGAAAAGAACUCCUCAAAAAUGGUCACUGUCUAAUUAUAAAGAAUUGAUCAAUGAAGAGUGGACUGUUGAAAAGAAAUAAGAAUAAAUUGGAUUUGCUAUUAAUUAUUGCUUUUGUAAUGGUUAAUGAUAGAAAGCAGGAGAAAAUGUGGCAUUGAGAUGCAACAUUUGUUCUCACUGUCACUCAGUUUGUUGCACCAGUUUUUGAUGGAGCAGGUUUUAAUGUUUAUUUCAAAGUGAAAAAUAAUCUGAUACUUAGAACCACAUGUAGUUGCUCUGCCCCUGCUCGUAAAUAACACUCAAUUUUUCUCCCAAGUUUAAAAAAAAAAAAAAUUCAUUUUAAUUGGAAAACAAGUUUCUUUGCUUGUCCUUUUGUGCAUUAUGUUAUGACAUAUUUUGCUGAAUAGCCUACUGAUCUGUAACGCAGCAGUAUUGCUUAUGGCACAAAGGGUACUAGGUUGUUGAACGUGCCAUUGCAUCACAUCAACAACAAAUUCUUCUUAAAAUAUCCCCACAAGAUUUGCCUGAAUUAUUGUCAGGCUGCAAAUACAUGCAAGUCCAAAGUUCCACAGUAAAUAUUCUAUAACUAAACUGAUUUUUCGUUUGACGGCUCAUUAAAAAGUAAUCAACUUGUGUAUUGCUAGAAAAAUAGCAUAUUAAAAACAAAAAUUUAUUUUGGGGGGUUUCAACUCGAAAACAGCACGGGGGAGAGCAACUAUUUCCCAUUAUUGUACUGUUUAGCUGCUUACACUGUACUUUGUCUUUUACAUGGUAAUAGUACACACAUUCCUCAUUCUGUUGGAUGCAAUGUUCUGAAGAUUUUUUUUCAAAUGCGUAUUACUUUGCCCUAUAUUAAAGCUGGCCACAAUAAAUUUAAGUCCUUUGAUGAGAUAGUUAACAGAUAACAGAAUCUAAAAUUUAUCUUGUGUUGCGCCAGUGGAAAUUACAUUUGUUUUGAACUUGGGCAUCGCCAGGAUGGGGCCCCAAAAAAGGGGGAAAAUGAAGGGAAAAAAAAGAAGACAAGGUGCAAAGUCAUAUUGCUUUUAUAGUCUUAUGCACAUUUAACAACAUAGGCGUCUGCAGGACUGUCAAUGGGGUUCGGUGGGCAAAUGGUCCCUCCCCCCCCCACAACCCUCGAAAAAAUGAUAAAUUGAGAAUAUGCUGGAGAAAGUACAAGGAUUUUUGGAAAUAAUGUGCAUUGCCCCCUCUAGAAUAAAAUCCUGGCAACGCCCAUGGUUUUGAAUACAUCAGCAAUUUUGCUGUCAUUAAAACUGUCAACAAAUGAUAAAUAAGAGGCUUGUAUAGAAAUAUUUCACAUAUUCCAUGAACGUUUGUGAAAUCUCUGAGAGGGACAUUUUAUACUGUUAUGGGAAAUGCAUGUUUUCUCGUGUCUGCCACUUUGAUAAGGUGUUUAUUCGCAAGCAAAAUAAAUGAUGAUCAAAAUGCUGAGCAAUUUAAGAGUAGGCUCUGCUGUUAUACAAGCAGUGUGUAGGUGCCAGUUGGGUUCAUGACCUUAUGAUCUCCAUUCCAAUCUGUUGCUGACCAUUCCUCUGUGCUUCCUUGCACUUGAUAAAAUAGGACUGCUUCUCAAUAUUUUGCAGCCGUAAAUAUCUUUUAAUUUCCUGAAAAAAAGGAAUUUCCUUUCUCCAAGUUUGGCCCACACUUCAUAGAGCUAGUUACUCUAGCUUUUAUGUUUAGUCUGAGUGAAUCUUACUUAUUCUUCAUCUGUCAUGGUUUUCAACAUUGCCAUUCUGUAGUAAGUUCUUAUCUUACUAUACAUUUGUUCUCAAAUUUUACAUCAAAUAUCUCCUUUGUAUCGUCGGACAUUUCACUGAAGGUGUUCAAAAGUUCUUUGUAAAGAAGGGUUUUUAUUUUGGUGAACUCUCAGGGAAGACAACAUGUACAUUUGAAACGAAAUACUGUAGUUUAAAUUAAAGAUAAAGGCAGGUCUCAUUCUUUCAGGUCUUAUCUCUGUCUAUAGAUUGAGGGAGUUCUCUCUUUUCAUGUGGAUCACAAAUAUACUGGAAAGAUUAAAGACUAUGGCAUCACCUUGGAAAGUUAAACCUUGGUUGUAAUGUCCUUAUUUUGAACACCACAAAACUAUAAAAUUACUUGCAAUUUUUUCAGCAAAAAAAAUGUGUAUAUAGGUUUCUUUGAACACACAAAAACAAAAUUGCCAUUAGUACUUCCCAUUUUUUUGGCGUGGAAAUGAUUGUUUCAUUUCUUUACAGCCAACAAUCUUCGAAUUUAAAUUCACCAUCUGAAAUGAAUGGGGCAUUACCGUUGAUCUGAGAACUCCCGCAAGCAUACAUGUAUAGAUCUAUUGGGGCGAUCACGUUGAUCAUCAUCAUCAUCUAGGUCAUCGGUCAUGUGCAAACUUAAUCUUAUCGAUGAAUAUUGAUGGCCGGUCACAAUAAGGCAGUAGUAUUCAUGUCAGCUACUUGGGUAGCCACUCAAGCAGCCACCCCUGAGAGUCACCUCUCCCCUUCUCUUUGGACACCCAGUUCCAUGGAACUCCUCUCUUAUCAAACUCUUACAUUACAUCGACAUGUUUUCUGACAGUUACUUUCACUUUCUGUUACUUUCAAGUGGGAAUAGAAAACCCACAAACCAAAGAAUUUUUCCUUGAUCUGACAACAUUUUCCACUCUUUGAAUUAUAAGGCCUUUGCCUUUUCUUUACUUCUGCUUAACAAGCUUUUCAAUUGUGACAUUUCAAACUUUAUAAUAUCAAAGAAGCUACAUUGAAGCUUUAGCCCCCCCUUUAGUCACUUCAAUGAAGUACAUUAUACUUGCUUUUCUUAGUCUCUUCUGAUACCAGUGAAACAGAACUUUUAAAAGCUACAUUUUUCAGCUGGUUAUUUCUUCGGGAGAAAUCUCUUCCAAUAACCAAGGCUGAGACAACCAGCUGAUAUCAUGUAGUUCAGAUUCCUCAGCUUCUCUAUACACAUUCAUCUUCCUUUUUCCUGGGCUGUUCUGCAUCAGUCACAUUUUCUCAUACCGUCAUCUCUAGUCAAAGCUGGGGCCAAACCAAACUGGAGACUUUGUAAUACUUGUAUAUAAUAUAGCAGCACCGUACUUUCAAAUAUCCUUUCUCAACCUGUAUUGCCCCCUUUCCCACUCAGCUCCAUAGGAAAAGCACCAAACCACCCCCAGAAAAAGGUACAAGUUUGCAUUAGAGCAUCAAGUGGAUUGGGGGCUCAAUUUUAGUCUUUUUUUUAUCGUGAAGAAUGCUUGACUGGCAAUCAAAAAAAAAAGAUUUUGUUUUUAUUUUAUGAAUCAUUUAAGUAAUUCUCACUAGGAAUGUUUUUCCAAAGUUAAAGGCAGAAGGACUUUUAUGGCUUGUAUGCCAUCAACCAGAUGACAAAAAAAGUGGAUUAAUGUGGAUCAAACCUUGAAAACUGUCUGGUGUAACAAAUAGAAUUUUAAUUGAAAUUGGUGAUUUUGUUCGUCGACUUGCGACAAAAUGUUGAAGUUAAGUGCCAGGUUAAGAUACCAGGGAGUGGAAUUUUUUUUUUUCCUUUUACACUUUCAUGCACAUGCAUAAUAAUUAAUGUAAAUUAUCUUUUUUGUCAUUCCUCAAAUUGAGUGGAAUUUGGUAUUUUCUUAAAAACUGAUAUUUUUUCUCUAAAUAUUCCUAGAUUCAUUACGUGACUUUGUUUAGUCACCGAUGAACAUUCACAGAUCAAAACAUCUGGAAAAAUUAUGAAUGUUUGUUCUUUCUAUGCUAGGAAAUGAGAAUGAAAAGGGGACUAGAUCUAGGCCUAUUUCUAUUCUUAAAUUUUUUUUUACAAAUUCUGUUCAUGCAUGAGUUUGAUCCAUGGGAAAAAUAAAGGAAAACAAAUCAAAUUCCAGACAUCGUUGUUCUUUAGAAAUUAGCAAAAUUUGUUGGUGUAUGGGCAAUCACUUUUUAU